rnacentral:rRNA from 1 species
AGCGGCGGACGGGUGAGUAACGCGUGGGUAACCUGCCUCAUACAGGGGGAUAACAGUUAGAAAUGACUGCUAAUACCGCAUAAGACCACAGCACCGCAUGGUGCGGGGUAAAAACUCCGGUGGUAUAAGAUGGACCCGCGUUGGAUUAGCUAGUUGGUGAGGUAACGGCCCACCAAGGCGACGAUCCAUAGCCGACCUGAGAGGGUGACCGGCCACAUUGGGACUGAGACACGGCCCAA